rnacentral:rRNA from 1 species
CCUACGGGACGCAGCAGUGGGGGAUAUUGCACAAUGGGGGGAACCCUGAUGCAGCGACGCCGCGUGGGUGAAGAAGCGCCUCGGCGCGUAAAGCCCUGUCAGCAGGGAAGAAAAUGACGGUACCUGAAGAAGAAGCCCCGGCUAACUACGUGCCAGGAGCCGCGGUAAUACGUAGGGGGCAAGCGUUAUCCGGAUUUACGGGGUGUAAAGGGGGCGCAGACGGCGAGGCAAGCCAGGAGUGAAAGCACGGGGCCCAACCCCGGGAAGUGCUCUGGAAAUGGGUGGUCGGAGGGCAGGAGGGGCAGGCGGAAUUCCUGGUGUAGCGGUGAAAUGCGUAGAUAUCAGGAGGAACACCGGUGGCGAAGGCGGCCUGCUGGACUGCAACUGACGUUGAGGCCCGAAAGCGUGGGGAGCAAACAGGAUUAGAUACCCUGGUAGUC